ACCCGCUGAACUUAAGCAUAUCAGUAAGCGGAGGAAAAGAAACUAACUAGGAUUCCCCGAGUAGCGGCGAGCGAAAAGGGAGAAGCCCAGCGCCGAAGCCCGCGGCCUCUGGUCGCAGUGCAAUGUGGCGUUACGGUGGCGGCUUGCCGCAGCAGCUCAGGCACGAGUACCUCUGAAUGGGUCUGCCCGCAGCGGGUGUCAGGCCUCUACUUGCCUCACGAGUUGCUGUGGCCUGCCGUUCAUCGCGGAGUCGGGUUGCUUGAGAGUGCAGCCCAAAGUGGGUGGUAAGCUCCAUCUAAGGCUAAAUACCUAGUGCGAGACCGAUAGCAAACAAGUACCGUGAGGGAAAGUUGCAAAGAACUUUGAAAAGAGAGUUCAAGAGUACGUGAAACCGUUCAGAGGCAAACGGACGGAACUGGGCGAGUUCGUCGCCGCCAUUCAGCCGUCGACCCCGGUCGGCGGUGCACUUGGCGGCGGCGGAGCGCGACGACCGCCUGUCGGGUCGUCAGAAGCCCGGCGGCAAGGUGGCGACGCGUUCGCGCGUCGUGUUACAGGCCGCCGUGGCGUUGGCAGACUUGGCGGGCGAGGAGCGCCUGCGGUGCACUCCCCGCGCGGGAGUGACCCGACGCGGUGGGCUUGCGGACGCCGGUGGCGAACUGCGUGCAGUUCGUCGUCGCGCCGUUCCGUCUGUCGCGCCGCGCGGUGUCACGGGGCACCCAGGGUCCGAGUCGCGUGGUUCCUGGCACUCCGUCCGACCCGUCUUGAAACACGGACCAAGGAGUUGAGCACGCGCGCGAGUCGAUGGGCUCUACGAACCCCAAAGGCGCAGCUAAGGCAAAACGGGCGUGAUCCGGCACUAGUGUGUUGGCGCAACGCCGGCCCGCGGCCGACUCGAUGCGAGUGGCCGCGGCGCAAGAGCGCGUGUGCUCAGACCCGAAAGGUGGUGAACUAUGCUUGAGCAGGGCGAAGCCAGAGGAAACUCUGGUGGAGGCUCGCAGCGAUCCUGACGUGCAAAUCGGUCGUCAAACUUGAGCAUAGGGGCGAAAGACUAAUCGAACCGCCUAGUAGCUGGUUCCCUCCGAAGUUUCCCUCAGGAUAGCUGGCACUCGGGAUAAAUGGUUUUAUCCGGUAAAGCGAAUGAUUAGAGGCAUUGGGGACGAAACGUCCUCAACCUAUUCUCAAACUUUAAAUGGGUAAGAGGCGCGACCCUUCCUGAUCGGGGUCGCGUGCUUGAACAGAGAGUGCCCAGUGGGCCGUUUUUGGUAAGCAGAACUGGCGCUGUGGGAUGAACCAAACGCGCGGUUAGGGUGCCUAACGCACGCUCAUGAGAUACCACAAAAGGUGUUGGUUGAUAUAGACAGCAGGACGGUGGCCAUGGAAGUCGGAAUCCGCUAAGGAGUGUGUAACAACUCACCUGCCGAAUCAACUAGCCCUGAAAAUGGAUGGCGCUGGAGCGUGCGACCCAUACCGCGCCGUCGGGGCAAUGCGUGCGAAAUGCCAGGCCCCGACGAGUAGGAGGGCGUGUCGGUGGCGUUGAAGCGUAGUGCGCGAGCACGCGUGGAGCCGCCUUCAGUGCAGAUCUUGGUGGUAGUAGCAAGUAUACAAAUGAGAACUUUGUAGACCGAAGUGGAGAAGGGUUCCAUGUGAACAGCAGUUGGACAUGGGUCAGUCGGCCCUAAGAGAUCGGAGAAUUCCGUUCUGAACGGGGGAGGCGCACGCCGUCUGAACUCUGGUUCGGGUGAGGAAGCGGCGUAGAGUGCGUGGCUGCCCCCGAUGCGAUCGAAAGGGAAUCGGGUUAAUAUUCCCGAACCUGGUAGUGGAGAUUGGGCCCUCGGGCCCCAGUGCGGUAACGCAACCGAACUCGGAGACGCCAGCGUCGAUCCCGGGAAGAGUUCUCUUUUCUUUGUUAGGAGCGGACUCCCUGGAAUUGGCUUGUCCAGAGAUAGGGACGUUGCAUCCGUAAAGCGUCGCGCCUCACGCGGCGUCCGGUGCAUCGGCGUUGGCCCUUGAAAAUCCGAGGGAGGCAGUGUGAUUUUCACUCCAGGCCGUACCCGAAUCCGCAGCAGGUCUCCAAGGUGAACAGCCUCUGGUCGAUAGAACAAUGUAGGUAAGGGAAGUCGGCAAAUCCGAUCCGUAACUUCGGGAUAAGGAUUGGCUCUGAGGUGCGGGC
rnacentral:rRNA from 1 species